UACAGAGGUCUCAAGCGUUGUUCGGAUUCAUUGGGCGUAAAGGGUGCGUAGGUGGCGAGGCAAGUCAGAUGUGAAAUCCCGGGGCUCAACCCCGGAACUGCAUUUGAAACUGCCUUGCUCGAGUACUGGAGAGGAGACUGGAAUUUACGGUGUAGCAGUGAAAUGCGUAGAUAUCGUAAGGAAGACCAGUGGCGAAGGCGAGUCUCUGGACAGUUACUGACGCUGAGGCACGAAGGCCAGGGGAGCAAACGGG
rnacentral:rRNA from 1 species